rnacentral:rRNA from 1 species
UACAGAGGUGGCAAGCGUUGUUCGGAAUUACUGGGCGUAAAGGGCGCGUAGGCGGCUUGGUCAGUCCCGUGUGAAAUCCCUCGGCUCAACUGAGGAACUGCACGGGAAACUGCCUGGCUUGAGUUCGGGAGAGGGAAGCGGAAUUCCGGGUGUAGCGGUGAAAUGCGUAGAUAUCCGGAGGAACACCGGUGGCGAAGGCGGCUUCCUGGACCGACACUGACGCUGAGGCGCGAAAGCUAGGGGAGCAAAGCGGG